CGUUGUUCGGAAUUACUGGGCGUAAAGGGCGCGUAGGCGGCCUUCUCAGUCGAACGUGAAAUCCCCGGGCUCAACCCGGGAACUGCGUCCGAUACUGGAAGGCUUGAAUCCGGGAGAGGGACGUGGAAUUCCAGGUGUAGCGGUGAAAUGCGUAGAUAUCUGGAGGAACACCGGUGGCGAAGGCGGCAUCCUGGACCAAUAUUGACGCUGAGGAGCGAAAGCCAGGGGAGCAAACGGG
rnacentral:rRNA from 1 species